AGAAAAGUUUCUAUCGAGGUUAAAGGUUCCCGUACCGCAAACCGACACAGGUGGGUGAGGAGAGUAUCCUAAGGCCCGCGAGAGAACUGUUGUUAAGGAACUCGGCAAAAUGACCCCGUAACUUAGGGAUAAGGGGUGCCACCAUCCGGUGGCCGCAGAGAAUAGGCCCAAGCGACUGUUUACCAAAAACAUAGGUUGCUGCUAAGUCGCAAGACGAUGUAUAGGAGCUGACGCCUGCCCGGUGCUGGAAGGUUAAGGGGAUCUGUUAGAGCAAUCGAAGCAGUGAACUUAAGCCCCAGUAAACGGCGGCCGUAACUAUAACGGUCCUAAGGUAGCG
rnacentral:rRNA from 1 species